rnacentral:misc_RNA from 1 species
AAGCCAUCACUGGAAUAUGAAAAUUAAAUAUGACAGCUAAAGAGAGAGAGAGAGGACUUCUAUUAUUAUCAGUUGCCCAAAAUCCAUUCUAGGAGAAAUUCAAAGGGAAAUCAAGGUAAAUCCAAAUUAGUGUGCAACCUAUCUAUACACCCCAUCACAUGGGAUCAAAAGAUGGACUACAUCAUGAUAGAUAAUGGUGCACCGUAGAAAGCAAAUUUUUUGGAAAUGCUUGAUGGCAACACAGGGGGAGGUACUUACUCGUCGAACAAGAUCCAAG